rnacentral:rRNA from 1 species
AUUGAACGCUGGCGGCAGGCCUAACACAUGCAAGUCGAACGGUAACAGGAAGAAGCUUGCUUCUUUGCUGACGAGUGGCGGACGGGUGAGUAAUGUCUGGGAAACUGCCUGAUGGAGGGGGAUAACUACUGGAAACGGUAGCUAAUACCGCAUAACGUCGCAAGACCAAAGAGGGGGACCUUCGGGCCUCUUGCCAUCGGAUGUGCCCAGAUGGGAUUAGCUAGUAGGUGGGGUAACGGCUCACCUAGGCGACGAUCCCUAGCUGGUCUGAGAGGAUGACCAGCCACACUGGAACUGAGACACGGUCCAGACUCCUACGGGAGGCAGCAGUGGGGAAUAUUGCACAAUGGGCGCAAGCCUGAUGCAGCUAUGCCGCGUGUAUGAAGAAGGCCUUCGGGUUGUAAAGUACUUUCAGCGGGGAGGAAGGGAGUAGAGUUAAUACCUUUGCUCAUUGACGUUACCCGCAGAAGAAGCACCGGCUAACUCCGUG